rnacentral:lncRNA from 1 species
GCAGGAUGUACUUCCGGGCCACGGGGCCACAUGACACGCUGGGGACACCAGAGUUCCUCUCCUCUUCAUUUCCAUUUUCUCCUGUAGGAAAUCUGUGUAGACGAAGCAUUUUAGGAACGCCAUUAAGCAAAUUUUUAAGUGGGGCCAAAAUAUGGUUAUCUACUGAGACACUAGCAAAUGAAGACUAAAUUAAGGUAUUUUUCUGGACAUAUUGAGAGAAGCUGGACAUUUCCCUCUCUGAACUGAAAUUGCUAACUGAGGCAUUUAAAACAUUUUAUAUGUAAGAAAUUUGCACAAAUAUUUAAACCAUGUUUAAUCAUGCUGCCUUCAGUUAUUCUAAGGGCAGUGUGACUUUUGGGUUUGACCUUUGGGUCUGGCUCAUUUGGGUCAUUUGCAGCACGAAUUUCCCAUUGUUACACUUGAUAUCAAAAUAUUGAGGUUCCUCUGCCAUGCGAAUUUUGCCAACUUCUAUUUUCCAACCUACUAAAGGUGAUCUGAUAGUCAGAUUACAACCCAGAGAAAGUGGAUAGGGAAGUUAAUAAAUUAGUGUAUUUAAUGCAUUUCUAGAUCAUCUGAUAAAACUCCCAAGAGGCCUCAGUUGGCAUCCACGUGUUUAGCUAAUAUUCUUAGCUUGUGUUCUGGGUUUAGAUUUUAGUUCACCUCAGUUAGGACCUAAGAUCACUGUGUUUCAAAAUCAUGGAUUUGCUUCAAUUCCAUACAACUAACUUAAAAGAUGCACUGUAAUUUUAAAGCAUUCACUGUAGCUAUUUAAACCUAGAAGUGCCUUUGACAUUCAGAUAAAAGUAGCAAAGAAGCUAGAAUAACAAAAUUUUCAAAAUUGGGCUCUUUAGACCCCACUGUAUAGUGGAAAUAGCUUUUUGCCAACAAGCUUACAUCAAUAGCCAGGAGUCUCCAGAGCCACAGUUUUGUCCCUCAGAAAGUCACCCUGCCAUCUUAGAGGCUCUCCAGGUAGAAGAUGCCCAGCUCCAGCUGUGGCUGAGGGUGCCAAGUCCAUGCACAGGAGCAUGCCACAGGCAGACCGCAGGCUGUAGGGAUGCUCUGGCCUCCUCCUGAGCACCUCAGCUGUCAUGCUGACGCAGGCCAACACUUCUCCUCAGAAAUGACAGGCAGGGUCACGAGAUGGACACAUGCACAGACUAGAGAGGAAGACUUCCUCAGUUGUUGCCAUUUUAAUACAGAGAUGCACCCCUUCCUGGCUUGGGGGCAAUGCCAAGAGGCUGAGAAUCUGAAGCCUUGAUCCAAACCAUGAUGAGAACCUGGUCAGCUUCACCCAGCCCUGUGCUUCUGCACUCACGAAUGCUCGUGCGUGUGUGCAGGGCUUCUUCUCCCUGUUUAAAGGUGGACAUGUCCUAAUGGACAAUGGCAGUGUCUUAAAUUGCCACCUUGGAUUUUGAAAUACUUUAUAGUAAAGUGUUGAUUUAGUUUGUUUCUUUUUCAAAAACUGAAUUUCUCAAAAUAGUGUGACCUGUCUAUAUGCUGUUUAGCCAUUUCUACUAAAUUGACCUUUUCUAACUGUUUAAUAAUGUCUCUGCAUUUAACAGGGCAGAUGUUCUUAUGUCUAAAAAAGUUCUUAUCUUAUGGCUAAACUUAAUGUUUUCACUCAUCUGUUGCUAUAAAAUAAGGGCUCUUGUCUACUUAUACAAAUAGCAUUAUCAGCAGUGAGGAUGCGCCAGCCGUUGGCCACACAGUUAGCCCUGGUCCGAGACACCGGGGUGUCACCACUGGAACCUGACAGUAAUGGCCCCCAUUUUCAUGAAGCUGCUUUGCUACUUCUAUAAGUUGUUCUAGAUUUAUUUUGCGGUUGAGAAUUCGUUUCUUUGUAAUUUUCAUCCCUCACAUUUACUUCAGCUCCUUUCAGAACUUUUUUGCCAACUUACAAGAAGGUCAGGUACUAUUAACAAACACUACUUUAUGAUGGAAAUUGCAUAUUUUUGUAUGGUAAUCAAUUGUAAAUGUUCUUCUAUUUUAACUGGGUGGUUGUUACAUCACGAUUAUUGUACAACAGCUUACUAUGUGAAACAGCUCCAGAGUCCUAGUGUGGCCUAUGGGACAGCUGCCUGGCACCUCUGCAAACAAAAGUGACCCUGCGGUGACAGAAGAGGUAAGCGUGGCUGUGAGCAGCAUACCAAAGAGCUCAGAAGCACUCUCUCCGAAGCCACCCGGGCAGAGCCUGUGCUGGCGGCGCCCAUGCAGGGGCUGAUGACACUGGGCAUCCUAAUGCUGACUCCAGAGGUCAAACUGUCUUACUGUUGCUUUAUGUUGGGAACCAAUUCUAAAACCAAAAAUGCCUAACUUUACUUAAGGAAAGGACAUUAAUUUCUACUGACAGAAGAUGAAAACUGUUCAACAUGUUUUUCAACAAGAUCCUCUUGCUGUAGCAGUAACCUCAAGCAAUUAAAACUUGGUGUCGAGACAAAACUAAACCCUUUGUGCCUAAAUCCAACUGCUGAGCCUAAGCAGGCUGAGCAGGUUGACUGGAUCCUGCCCAACAGAGUGGAUGUAAAGGGCUCUCUGACUGCUAAAUAAAAUCUCCAUGGAUACCG